CCUAAUCUUUUGGAGUUCUUCAUCCUGGAUGUGUUUUCCCUUGUUGAGAGGAGCAAUUUCUCCAUUUGCUACUUCUUUCUGUGUUUAUCAGAUCUCUGAAAGAUGCAUGCUCACUAGGAGCAAUUUCUCCAUUUGCUACUUCUUUCUGUGUUUAUCAGAUCUCUGAAAGAUGCAUGCUCACUAUUCUUGCUAUUCAGUAAUUGUUCAUAUUUUGAUAUAGACCUGAUUGCUGAAACCUGUCAACCAUCUGAAUCUGUACCCGAUCAGGCUAUUAGUUCCCUAUGCAUGCUUGGGUUGCUCAAUGCGUGGGUAGCAGUUCAGUUUGUUCCCUUUGUUAUAGAUUAUAGAAUUGUCCUGUUGCUACAUUCAACAAACAUAGGCAUGAUGACUAGAAAAAAUGCCAAUUAUGUGAGUUUCCUAAUCAUGGCCAACAAUCUGCCUGUUUGGAAGCUUUUGCGAUGGAUGAUCUUUUUCUUGGGACCAUAAAACCUACUAUCUGACACAAUGAGGUUGUUCUGUAGAUUCUGCGAUCUAUCACUCAAUUUGACAAAGAAUGCAAUUAUCAAACAAAAUCAUGCUAUGUUCCCUGUAUAGAGCUUUUAAGCUGUUUGGUACAUUGUUUUGUGUUUUGAUAAAUCUAUUCCAUGGUUCAUGUCCUCAUUGAGAAAGAAAACAGUGGCAUCAUUUGACAUGCCUUAAGUUCAUGAAUUUGAAAUAAUUCACUUUAUCAAAAGCAUGAUAUGUUAAAAUAAUAAAGCUCAAGGCUGUCAACCAAUCUGUGUUUAAAUAUUUACAAGACACAGCUGACGCAAGGCAACUUUCACCAGGAAUCAAUACUCUGCAUCCAAACCUCUUAAAGAUUUCUGAAGUUGUCUCAAACUUUAAAAAAUAAUAUGUUUUACCUUUCAUCUUGACUGGAAAAUGCUCUAUAUAGUAUUCAGAUUCAUUUACAAUUCAUGGGUUUUAAACAUGACCUGUUCAAUAGAUAUAAGAGGGCCAUUUACCAUUGUGUUGGAGUCCAGCAGACCUGAUGAGAGAAUGUUUUCUUUUAGGCAUAAUACGGUCAAACGAAAUUCCUCUUACGCAUAGAUUUUAUUAUGUCUAUCCUUGUAUCAGUGUAAGGUGGUGUUUGGUUUAUGCAUCGGUAAUACAAACGGAAACGUAAUAAGGUCGCUGCGUAUCCGCUCCCGUAAUGGAGUUAACUCCCUUGUUGAGAGGAGCUUGUGGUUUAAUGUCAUGUGAAUCGGAGUUGUUUAGAUCGAGUUUUGGCAGAUUGAUGUGGAGUUGGUCUGCUGUUCGUGAUCUGCUGGGCUCUGAAAUUUUCGCCAACUUCACCUGUAUAUCAUGUGCUGCGUGUUCGUUUCUGUUCA